rnacentral:RNase_P_RNA from 1 species
AUCGCCGCGUAUACGGUCGCGCGGGAGCGUUUUGUCUCCCGUGAGGAAAGUCCGGGCUUCACAGGGCAGGGUGCCGGAUAACGUCCGGUGGGGGUAACCCUAAGGAAAGUGCAACAGAAAUGAUACCGCUAUCGGCUCACGGGCUUUGUACAGGACCUCGGUGUCGUGUAUAAAGCCUGUGAGCUGAUAGUAAGGGUGGAAUGGCGGUGUAAGAGACCACCGGUGUCCCGGUAACGGGGCAUGCUGUGCAAACCCCACUCGAAGCAAGGCCAAGCAGAAGGCAUUGCGGCGGCCCGUCGCGCCUUCGGGUAGGCCGCGUGGCAUUUUCGGAAGGAAAUGCCGGAGCUGUAUGGUAACAUGCAGUCAAGAAGGAUGACCGUUUAGUACAGAACCCGGCUUAUUUCGCGGCGAUUCUU